UACGAAGGGGGCUAGCGUUGUUCGGAAUUACUGGGCGUAAAGCGCACGUAGGCGGAUUGGCAAGUCAGGGGUGAAAUCCCGGGGCUCAACCUCGGAACUGCCUUUGAUACUGCCAGUCUAGAGUCCGGAAGAGGUGGGUGGAAUUCCUAGUGUAGAGGUGAAAUUCGCAGAUAUUAGGAAGAACACCGGUGGCGAAGGCGGCCCACUGGUCCGGAACUGACGCUGAGGUGCGAAAGCGUGGGGAGCAAACAGG
rnacentral:rRNA from 2 species